UACGAAGGGGGCUAGCGUUGCUCGGAAUUACUGGGCGUAAAGGGCGCGUAGGCGGCACUGUUAGUCAGGCGUGAAAGUCCUGGGCUCAACCUGGGAACUGCGCUUGAUAACGGCAGAGCUAGAGGAUGGAAGAGGCUCGCGGAAUUCCGGGUGUAGCGGUGGAAUGCGUAGAGAUCCGGAAGAACACCGGUGGCGAAGGCGGUCUGCUGGGGUAAUGCUGACAACUGAUGCGCGACAGCGUGGGGAGCAACAGG
rnacentral:rRNA from 1 species